rnacentral:rRNA from 2 species
GCCCAGACUCCUACGGGAGGCAGCAGUAGGGAAUCUUCCACAAUGGGCGCAAGCCUGAUGGAGCAACACCGCGUGAGUGAAGAAGGUUUUCGGAUCGUAAAGCUCUGUUGUUGAAGAAGAACGUGCAUGAGAGUAACUGUUCAUGCAGUGACGGUAUUCAACCAGAAAGUCACGGCUAACUACGUGCCAGCAGCCGCGGUAAUACGUAGGUGGCAAGCGUUAUCCGGAUUUAUUGGGCGUAAAGAGAGUGCAGGCGGUUUCUUAAGUCUGAUGUGAAAGCCUUCGGCUCAACCGAAGAAGUGCAUCGGAAACUGGGAAACUUGAGUACAGAAGAGGGCAGUGGAACUCCAUGUGUAGCGGUGGAAUGCGUAGAUAUANGGAAGAACACCAGUGGCGAAGGCGGCUGCCU